rnacentral:rRNA from 1 species
UAGGGAAUCUUCGGCAAUGGGGGCAACCCUGACCGAGCAACGCCGCGUGAGUGAAGAAGGUUUUCGGAUCGUAAAGCUCUGUUGUAAGUCAAGAACGAGUGUGAGAGUGGAAAGUUCACACUGUGACGGUAGCUUACCAGAAAGGGACGGCUAACUACGUGCCAGCAGCCGCGGUAAUACGUAGGUCCCGAGCGUUGUCCGGAUUUAUUGGGCGUAAAGCGAGCGCAGGCGGUUUGAUAAGUCUGAAGUUAAAGGCUGUGGCUCAACCAUAGUUCGCUUUGGAAACUGUCAAACUUGAGUGCAGAAGGGGAGAGUGGAAUUCCAUGUGUAGCGGUGAAAUGCGUAGAUAUAUGGAGGAACACCGGUGGCGAAAGCGGCUCUCUGGUCUGUAACUGACGCUGAGGCUCGAAAGCGUGGGGAGCGAACAGGAUUAGAUACCCUGGUAGUCCACACCGUAAACGAUGAAUACUAGGUGUUAGGAGGUUUCCGCCUCUUAGUGCCGAAGCUAACGCAUUAAGUAUUCCGCCUGGGGAGUACGACCGCAAGGUUG